rnacentral:tRNA from 1 species
GUUUUAAUAGUUUAUAACAAAACAAUGGUCUUGUAAACCAUAGAAAGAUUAAUCUUUAAAACU